GAAAUGCGAUAAGUAAUGUGAAUUGCAGAAUUCAGUGAAUCAUCGAAUCUUUGAACGCACAUUGCGCCCGCCAGUAUUCUGGCGGGCAUGCCUGUUCGAGCGUCAUUACAACCCUCAGGCCCCCGGGCCUGGCGUUGGGGAUCGGCGGAAGCCCCCUGCGGGCACAACGCCGUCCCCCAAAUACAGUGGCGGUCCCGCCGCAGCUUCCAUUGCGUAGUAGCUAACACCUCGCAACUGGAGAGCGGCGCGGCCACGCCGUAAAACACCCAACUUCUGAAUGUUGACCUCGAAUCAGGUAGGAAUACCCGCUGAACGUAAGGA
rnacentral:misc_RNA from 1 species